UGUGCAGGAAUAGAAACCCUGAUUAAGACAGUGUCUAAUGUCUCUUUUAUUUUUAGUAUUUUAGGUGACAGACGUAAAAUAAAUUUGCAUGCCACUCCAAUGACAUCCAUGCUUAUUGAUCAGUCUGACCUGACAAUUCCACAUGCACCAGGAUGUUAUUUCAGACACAGGAGUGAACAUGGAGCAAGAGAUAAGGUAAUUACCUUAAAAUAUAAUUACUUAAUAUUUGUAAUUACAAAAUUCUAAAUAUUAUAUGAUUAAUA
rnacentral:lncRNA from 1 species